rnacentral:rRNA from 1 species
UACAGAGGGGGCAAGCGUUGUUCGGAAUUACUGGGCGUAAAGGGCGCGUAGGCGGCCCGCUAAGUCGAACGUGAAAUCCCCGAGCUCAACUCGGGAACUGCGUCCGAUACUGGCGGGCUUGAAUCCGGGAGAGGGAUGCGGAAUUCCAGGUGUAGCGGUGAAAUGCGUAGAUAUCUGGAGGAACACCAAUAGCGAAGGCAGCUCGCUGGGACGGUACUGACGCUAAGGCGCGAAAGCGUGGGGAGCGAACAGG